UGUUUUUGGUGGACAGUAUAAAAGCCUUAAUGUCACAAUGACACUGCCCACUUGCCGUUUUGAAAAUGCCUGGACUGAACGCAGAAUUCACAGUAAGAAAUCAUUUUGUGUACUGUUCUGCCCGUUUUUUUAUAUCAAUCGCAAAUCUAAUAUAUAUUUAUUCAUUUAUAGAUACACGUUGCAGACGCUCAAAUACAUAACAUGCUGUCCCAGUUGAAAUCAUUUUUAACUGAACAAAUGGCCGGUUACGACCAAACUUAUCCAUACUCGCCGAGUUUCGUUAGAUGGGGAGUUAUUAUCGAACGGACGAUUCGUUUUGGGACUCAUGUCCUAUKKCAUAAUCUAUACUUUAUCAAUGACUCUUUUCAUCAAGUCCAAGAUUUACAAUCAGAUUGAUCUGUGGAAAUGCCCUUUUUACACACAAAAUUAUGACUGUGAAUCCAGUAAACGCACUGUACUCAAGUAAUCCAAUUCAAUGGUACGGCCAGUGUGAUGCUCUCCCAUCCAGGAAAACGCUUUUACAGCUAUUUCAAACAAAUUUUAAUUUAAAAGCCUAUUUUUCCGCGGUAUCUCAGGGACAUAAUAUUAUAGGUAUUGCCUAACUGUAUCCAAAGUUUGGUCUCUGGUCGACGAAAUUCCUGGAGUACGGUGGCCCACAACUAUCACGGCAAAAAUCAAAACUUCACGGCAAAAAGCAAAACUUCA